UGCUAAUACCGAAUGUUGUAUCUUCUCCGCAUGGAAGAGAUAUUAAAGAUGGCCUCUACUUGUAAGCUAUCGCUUUGCGAUGGGUCUGCGUCUGAUUAGCUAGUUGGUGGGGCAACGGCCUACCAAGGCGACGAUCAGUAGCCGGUCUGAGAGGAUGAACGGCCACAUUGGAACUGAGACACGGUUCAGACUCCUACGGGAGGCAGCAGUGGGGAAUCUUCCGCAAUGGGCGAAAGCCUGACGGAGCAACGCCGCGUGAGUGAAGAAGGUCUUCGGAUCGUAAAGCUCUGUUGUCGGGGACGAAUGUUGAGACUUAGAACAUAAGUUUCAAAUGACGGUACCUGACGAGGAAGCCACGGCUAACUACGUGCCAGCAGCCGCGGUAAUACGUAGGUGGCGAGCGUUGUCCGGAAUUAUUGGGCGUAAAGGGAGCGCAGGCGGGAAGGUAAGUCUAUCUUAAAAGUGCGGGGCUCAACCCCGUGAGGGAUAGAAACUAUUUUUCUUGAGUGCAGGA
rnacentral:rRNA from 1 species